UACAGAGGGUGCAAGCGUUAAUCGGAAUUACUGGGCGUAAAGCGUGCGUAGACGGUUGCGUAAGUCAGAUGUGAAAGCCCUGGGCUCAACCUGGGAAUUGCAUUUGAGACUGCGUAGCUAGGGUGCGGAAGAGGGAAGCGGAAUUUCCGGUGUAGCGGUGAAAUGCGUAGAUAUCGGAAGGAACAUCAGUGGCGAAAGCGACUUCCUGGACCAGUACCGACGUUCAGGCACGAAAGCGUGGGGAGCAAACAGG
rnacentral:rRNA from 1 species